GCUGACAAGUUGCGGCCAGACUGGAAGGAAAACCUUCUCUACAUCGCCAAGACGUACAUUUGUGAAGGGCAUUACGGACCUGCCAUGGCAUGGAUUGACCGUGCCGCAGCCCUUCCUUGCGUGGACCCUGGUGACGACACCGUGCACAAGGAAGUGGAAAACCUGCAGCAACAGUACCAGCGUUACCGGCCGUGAAUGAGGCUCUCUCUCGCCGGACGACGUAACACCCCGUUUGAGAGCUGCGGCAUUCAACCACGGACGGGGUUCGCUGUUGGCUCCGCACGCCAGAAGAUGGAAGCAUCCAUCAAGAAGAGGCAUAGACUCUUAGCCAUUCUUCAUGUGACAUGCGUCCCGUAGUGGAUACGCAGCAAUUGUUUAACUCUUGGUGAUAUCUGUGGAAGAGCGUGACCUGGCAGUGUUACGAUAACUGGUGCGGGACACCUAGAGAGUUCUUACAUAAGACUUAUUAUUCGCUGUUUACUACUCUUAUCAAGCCCAGUGGGCAUGCUGAGGACGCCAUAGGCUGUUAAAGGCCCCUGCCGUGCGUGUAACAGUGGAGACGUUCGGCAUAGACUGGUGUAGACAUGUGCUCAGCACCCGCACAUGUCUACACAGGUUUUUGUUUCGAGGUUAACUUUUUAUUCACGCACGACCAAUGGCUUGGAACCUCCUAUGGUGCCGGGAAAGCCAACUAUAUAUACAUAUGUUAAUAUCUGUUGUUUAGCUAAGGUAUGGGAUCAUAAUUUCUGGUGUUACAGCGUGGUUAUUGUUUUUUACAAGUCUUCUCUCUUACACUGUUGCAUAUUGUGCAUUGCCAUGUUUUACUUCGCCUUGCCGAGCACAACCCGAAGUUCUAAAACUGCGCAAGUGAUAAAAAAUGACGAAUUUCCACAGUUGUCUGAGGACAGAGUUUGUUAAAGCAUGGGCGUUGCUGAUAAGUGUUGCACAACAAGAUAGCUUCAGCGCAACCUAGACGAGUGGUGUCAGAAGCAGCAACUCAAGGGCAGUGAUGCCAGUUGUUCAAGGCAGCCAGCAGUAUAUCUUAUGUUCUGGUCUUCUUUACAUAUACAUCUCUGUGAAACAGAAUCGGUCUUAUUAUACGCUGCAGGCCUGUGUUUAUGCUGAUUAUCAUUCCAUUCUUGUAAUGAAAAGAUAAGGGUGCAUCAUUGCACUGUGAGUCGCAGUGUAGUAGGCGAUACUUGUUCAAGAACUUGGCGACAACUUUCUAACUGCCCGUUAAUUAGGGUCUUUUCACUUUUUUUUUACCUUGUGUUUCAUGCAGCAUGCGUAAAAUAUUCCCUGGAGCAGUUACAACAACAGUUUUCUAUAGAUUCACAUAUUUCAUAGUGCUCUUGAAAGAAAGCUUUUACUGUUACCGAGAACUCCAGUGUCCAAAUUGAAUAGCUUGAAUGAAAGUUCACUUCCCAUUGCCGCUGUGCUUGCUAAAAGAAUCAUGCUUGAUUAGAAUCGUGGUUAUUUACUUCGUAAGCGCCAAUCACAAUUAUACCCUGUAGUCUAAAAAUGAUGCAAUUUCUGCAUAAUUGUGCAGAUUUCGAUUACUAUUUAAGUUGCCUGCCACCUAAAGUGGGCACGAAUCAGUCAUGCUUCUUUGUUGCAUUGUUUUUUCACUGUGGAUGGUAAAUUUCUCAGUGCUGUUGCUUUUAUCAUAUUUUUUAAGGUUACCUACUAAAUGUACAGUACAUCACUUCGAAGGGUAUAAUUACUGCUGCUGGCUAGUUAUUACCGAUUUACAAGCACAUGUUCUGCAACUCAAAUUGUGUCACGGUGUCAUGCUGGAGUGAUGUGGCUACAUCGCCUUUGCAAAACUUUCUAAUAACUGUGCCAAUUAUUUAUACUGGCACUUUCGUAAGUGCUAAUUUCUAAACACUUCUCCAGUGUGAUAAUACAACAAUAUCUAACAAAAUAAAUGUCCCAAUAUUCUCAGCACUGUCUGCCGCCAAAUACACACAUUUAGGACUCAAAUGUGCACAUUUGGGACUGCAUUUCUUUUAAAUGGAAUUACUAUCGGCCUAAGAUCUACAUAGUAAUAGUAAAGAGAAGUAGUAAAUUACUAAUCUAUUGCAAAAUGUCUAAAAAUAAUCAAUUAAACAUAAUCAACUAUGCAUAAAACAUUGUGUACAGUGCUGAGUGUGUAAACACCUCUGAUAUUGCUUUCCAGAAUGUGCAGCUUGGUUCUGAGUAAAGAAAUUGACCCAAAAUGGAUAGCCGAUUCGUGUUGUCAAUGUUUUUCUCCUCAGAAACAUAAAAUGCAUCAUUCAUGAGGUUGUGAACGUGUUAUUGAUAACAUAGGAUCAACUGCAUGAAAUGUUAAAGGGGCCCUGAAACACUUUUUCAAGUAACCAUGGAUAUGAUUCAAUAGUAAAACUUAUUGCCUCACAAAUUCAAUGCUGAAAACGUUUUAAGAAUUCGUCCAGUGCGAGCGGAGUUACAAAGAUUUGUCGCACGCUUCAAUUGCGUUCUUUCGUCUCUCAUUCCAGCGAAAGCGCUGGAAGCUAAGCAGGGAGGGAUGGCAGGGGCGAAGAAUUACGUCAGACUCGCCUCAUGACCUUGAGCACUUUUUCAUUUUUUUUUCUUUGAAUACACAGCUUUUCAGUGUGAGCAUGUGUGAGCUUUUUCAGUGCGAGCGGCUUCUCGCGUCGAUCUCUGUAACGACUGAGCGGGCCAUGUUCAAAUCAACCAAUGGCUGAUAGAUGGGCUAACUACGAGUGAUUUUCGGGCGUCUUCUGUGAUUUUUUGAGAGUAAGAAAAAGCAAUUUUUAGCUGACUGAUAAUUUAUUUUGAAUUCCAGGCCAGCGUGCUUCGCUAUAAUAUUUGGCUUGUGUGUUGUGGGGAGCGUCUACUACCGGAUCCGCAGCGUUUUAUGACCAUACUCAAGAAGUGUUGUAGGACCCCUUUAACAUUUACCAAGCAUUCAUUCUAAAAGGAAAAGGCAUGCUAACACGGUCACAAGGACGUUUGUGUUGUCCUCACUUUCUUCUUGUGUAUGUGUUGGCACGCUCAUGUCUUUUUAGAAUGAAUAUGUACCAACUAUUUGAGCUCUGUUAGUCUAAAUCCCUGAGUAUGUCUUUUCGAUAAUGCAUCACAAUGUGUGCUUCUUUAGUUUGGAUGUCCUAAUGGCCAGCCGGAACUCGGGGUUAGUGAUCUAGCUUGUUAGCGUUUGCUCACUGCGUUGAAACAGAUCACACAUUGGUAAUUAUGUGAAGCUGGUUUUAUUCCAGCCUAAUAACACUGGAGCUGCAAAAGAGCCAACAUCAAACACUGGCUGUUUAUAACCUAUCAAACGAACAAACCAACUGUAGUAUAAGUUACCUGCCCUUUUUUUUCCUCCUCAUUUUCUAUUUGUGACCUAAAACUUCUUUUACAUUCCCAGUGAUGCGAAGUUGAAACGCACGUUCAAAAUUGUUAUGUUUUAUUUUUUUUUCGUUUCUCCACAAGUGGGGCUAAUGUGUUCUCGCAUGUACAUUCGAAGUGCGCAUUGUGGCAGUCGUAGCCACAACAAAUGCAAAGCCCUUCAAUCAAGUCCGUGAACAUCUACGUAUUUUUGCGACACACAUGUUCUGCAGGUUAAGUAGAGCUGUAGCAGCCAGAUUAUUGACCGACUGUACAUUGCUGAAUUGCCCCAAGAUGCAAUGCAGCUACAUUCAAGAUGGUAUACUUUAUAAAUAAACUUGGUCCGAGAGUCGCUGCCUCACACCUGUGAAAUUUCAA
rnacentral:lncRNA from 1 species